rnacentral:rRNA from 1 species
CGGAGAGUUUGAUCCUGGCUCAGAUUGAACGCUGGCGGCAUGCCUUACACAUGCAAGUCGAACGGCAGCACGGAGCUUGCUCUGGUGGCGAGUGGCGAACGGGUGAGUAAUAUAUCGGAACGUACCCUAGAGUGGGGGAUAACGUAGCGAAAGUUACGCUAAUACCGCAUACGAUCUAAGGAUGAAAGUGGGGGAUCGCAAGACCUCAUGCUCGUGGAGCGGCCGAUAUCUGAUUAGCUAGUUGGUAGGGUAAAAGCCUACCAAGGCAUCGAUCAGUAGCUGGUCUGAGAGGACGACCAGCCACACUGGAACUGAGACACGGUCCAGACUCCUACGGGAGGCAGCAGUGGGGAAUUUUGGACAAUGGGCGAAAGCCUGAUCCAGCAAUGCCGCGUGAGUGAAGAAGGCCUUCGGGUUGUAAAGCUCUUUUGUCAGGGAAGAAACGGUGAGGGCUAAUAUCUCUUGCUAAUGACGGUACCUGAAGAAUAAGCACCGGCUAACUACGUGCCAGCAGCCGCGGUAAUACGUAGGGUGCAAGCGUUAAUCGGAAUUACUGGGCGUAAAGCGUGCGCAGGCGGUUUUGUAAGUCUGAUGUGAAAUCCCCGGGCUCAACCUGGGAAUUGCAUUGGAGACUGCAAGGCU